rnacentral:rRNA from 1 species
AGAGUUUGAUCAUGGCUCAGGACGAACGCUGGCGGCGUGCUUAAUGCAUGCAAGUCGAACGAGAACCUCACAGUGGGUAACCACAGGGAGGUGUCUAGUGGCGAACGGGUGCGUAACACGUGAGAAACCUACCCCGGAGAUCGGGAUAGCCCAGGGAAACUUGGAUUAAUACCGAAUACCCUCCGACCGUCGCAUGUCGGACGGAGGAAAUGGUCCGCCGCUCCGGGAUGGUCUCGCGGCCUAUCAGCUAGUUGGUGAGGUAACGGCUCACCAAGGCAACGACGGGUAGCUGGUCUGAGAGGACGAUCAGCCACACUGGGACUGAGACACGGCCCAGACUCCUACGGGAGGCAGCAGCAGGGAAUAUUGCACAAUGGGCGCAAGCCUGAUGCAGCGACGCCGCGUGAGGGAUGAAGGCCUUCGGGUUGUAAACCUCUUUCAGGAGGGAAGAAGCGAAAGUGACGGUACCUCCAGAAGAAGACCCGGCCAACUACGUGCCAGCAGCCGCGGUAAUACGUAGGGGUCAAGCGUUGUCCGGAUUCAUUGGGCGUAAAGAGCUCGUAGGCGGCUCAGUAAGUCGGUCGUGAAAGCCCGGGGCUCAACCCCGGGACGCCGAUCGAAACUGCUGUGGCUAGGGUUCGGUAGAGGAGAGUGGAAUUCCCGGUGUAGCGGUGAAAUGCGCAGAUAUCGGGAGGAACACCAGUAGCGAAGGCGGCUCUCUGGGCCGACACCGACGCUGAGGAGCGAAAGCUAGGGGAGCAAACAGGAUUAGAUACCCUGGUAGUCCUAGCCGUAAACGUUGGGCACUAGGUGUGGCGGACUCAUUGACGUCUGCCGUGCCACAGCUAACGCAUUAAGUGCCCCGCCUGGGGAGUACGGUCGCAAGGCUAAAACUCAAAGGAAUUGACGGGGGCCCGCACAAGCGGCGGAGCAUGCGGCUUAAUUCGAUGUAACCCCGAAGAACCUUACCUAGGCUUGACAUCACGGGAAAAGCUGUGGAAACACAGUGUGCGUAAGCGUCCGUGACAGGUGGUGCAUGGCUGUCGUC